GGCUUGUUGAAUAUAAUUUUAAGUCAGACCUGCCCACUGAGGAGUUAAAUGGCCGCGGUAUAUUGACCGUGCAAAGGUAGCAUAAUCACUAGUUUUUUAAUUGAAAGCUUGAAUGAAAGGUUCGAUGAAAAGAUCUCUGUCUCUAUGAAAAUUUAUUAGAAUUUUAUUUUUAAGUAAAAACGCUUAAAUGUGUGUGGAAGACGAGAAGACCCUAUAGAGUUUUAUAUUUGUGUAAGAAAUCUAAUUUGUGGAAUUUUAAAAAUUUAUUUUUUAUUUAAAAUAUUUGGUUGGGGUGAUGGAAAAAUUUACUGAACUUUUUUUGUAUUUUAACAUUGAUUUAUGAUUAUUUGAUCCUAUAAUUAAGAUUAAAAGAUUAAAUUACCUUAGGGAUAACAGCGUAAUUUUUUAUAGAGUUCUUAUCGAAAGAAGAGAUUGCGACCUCGAUGUUGGAUUAAAAUAAAUUGUUGGUGUAGAAGCUAAUAUAUUAGGUCUGUUCGACCUUUAAAAUUUUACAUGAUCUGAGUUUAGACCGGCGUGAG
rnacentral:rRNA from 1 species